AUAACAGGCUUAUCUCCCCCAAGAGUCCACAUCGACGGGGAGGUUUGGCACCUCGAUGUCGGCUCAUCACAUCCUGGGGCUGUAGUAGGUCCCAAGGGUUGGGCUGUUCGCCCAUUAAAGUGGUACGCGAGCUGGGUUCAGAACGUCGUGAGACAGUUCGGUCCCUAUCCGUCGCAGGCGUAGGAAAUUUGAGAAGACCUGUCCUUAGUACGAGAGGACCGGGAUGGACGUACCUCUGGUGUACCAGUUGUUCUGCCAAGGGCAUGGCUGGGUAGCUAUGUACGGAAUGGAUAAGCGCUGAAAGCAUCUAAGCGCGAAGCCAACUUCAAGAUAAGAUUUCCCACCGCAAGGGUAAGACCCCAGAAAGACUAUCUGGUUGAUAGGUCGAAGGUGUAAGUGCAGCAAUGUAUUUAGCUUAUCGAUACUAAUAGGUCGAGGACUUGACCAAAUU
rnacentral:rRNA from 1 species